GAUGAACGCUGGCGGCGUGCUUAACACAUGCAAGUCGAACGAAGCACUUUAUUUGAUUUCCUUCGGGACUGAUUAUUUUGUGACUGAGUGGCAGACGGGUGAGUAACGCGUGGGUAACCUGCCUUGUACAGGGGGAUAACAGUUGGAAACGGCUGCUAAUACCGCAUAAGCGCACAGCAUCGCAUGAUGCAGUGUGAAAAACUCCGGUGGUAUAAGAUGGACCCGCGUUGGAUUAGCUAGUUGGUGAGGUAACGGCCCACCAAGGCGACGAUCCAUAGCCGACCUGAGAGGGUGACCGGCCACAUUGGGACUGAGACACGGCCCAAACUCCUACGGGAGGCAGCAGUGGGGAAUAUUGCACAAUGGGCGAAAGCCUGAUGCAGCGACGCCGCGUGAGCGAAGAAGUAUUUCGGUAUGUAAAGCUCUAUCAGCAGGGAAGAUAAUGACGGUACCUGACUAAGAAGCACCGGCUAAAUACGUG
rnacentral:rRNA from 1 species